rnacentral:rRNA from 1 species
AUUGAACGCUGGCGGCAGGCCUAACACAUGCAAGUCGAGCGGAUGACGGGAGCUUGCUCCUUGAUUCAGCGGCGGACGGGUGAGUAAUGCCUAGGAAUCUGCCUGGUAGUGGGGGACAACGUUUCGAAAGGAACGCUAAUACCGCAUACGUCCUACGGGAGAAAGCAGGGGACCUUCGGGCCUUGCGCUAUCAGAUGAGCCUAGGUCGGAUUAGCUAGUUGGUGAGGUAAUGGCUCACCAAGGCGACGAUCCGUAACUGGUCUGAGAGGAUGAUCAGUCACACUGGAACUGAGACACGGUCCAGACGCCUACGGGAGGCAGCAGUGGGGAAUAUUGGACAAUGGGCGAAAGCCUGAUCCAGCCAUGCCGCGUGUGUGAAGAAGGUCUUCGGAUUGUAAAGCACUUUAAGUUGGGAGGAAGGGCAGUAAGCUAAUACCUUGCUGUUUUGACGUUACCGACAGAAUAAGCACCGGCUAACUCUGUGCCAGCCGCCGCAGUAA